CUCAGUCCACUACAUAGUUAAAAACAGAGGAGCUUGCCGGGAAUUUAGCUCAGUGGCACCACGCCUGCCUCGAAAGCACAAGGUCCUGAGUUUGAUCCCCGGUACCACCACCAAAAAAAGAAAAGAAAAGAAAUGGAGGAGCUGAGUGAGCUGGUCCCUUCCCCUCACUCAGCUGGGCUGAGGGCCAGCCCCACCUGGUGAUUAUCCGUGUUUAAGUUCAGGAGGUCAGGACUCCCAUAGCAUCAUUAGUUUGGAAACCAGUGAGGCACCUGGAGUCAGGGGUGUCAGACCACAGUGGGAGACACCUGGGCUAGAGGGGGCUAAACCUUUAAAUACUGGAAGCCUGCGCUGUGUUAGGGGUCAUCAGAGGUUGCUCUUGCUCCUCUUCCUUUUUCUUUUGUCCUGCGAUCUUGAAUUAAUGUAGCAACUUACUAUUUGCUGUGAGGUGUGUGCUUGCCAAUUCUUUCCUUCACGUGUCCAAGGACCUGGAGUGGUACUUUUGGCGAAUUCAACUGUAAAUCUGAUGAACGGAGCCAGGAGGACAUUACUAAACUUGAGAGAGCUCUUCAAGCGUUGGAGGUGUCACCAGCAGCCUCAGCAGGAGUGGGCAACCAGACACCCUAGCUGGCAAGGCAGACUGGGACUCCAUAUCUGAGACUCUUAUUUUUCUACAACCACAUGUGGUGUGCCUACCUCCUAAAGCCAAGUACACAGAGGAAAGUACUAUGAUCCUAUCUCACCAUUGGAAUUAUAAUGUAAAAGAGAAAAUGGUCAAAGUCAUCUUACAUUGAGAUUUUCUUUACAUUAAGAAAUAAUUCUUGCUUGUGUUCAAAUGUAAAUGUGGGCCAUAGAAAAAUGAGACACCUCACCCUUAAGGCAUUCAGUACCUCUAAGGCUGAGGCUACUCCUUGCCCUAACCACCAAGUGCUGAGGGUGGAAUAUCUAGGCCAGCCAUAA
rnacentral:lncRNA from 1 species